AUGCUCUUGGUGCUCGUCUUAGUCCUGGGGCUAUAUUUUUGCCUGAGAGACAUUGCAACCCAGACAGUGACCCAGCCUGACGUCCAAGUCACUGUCAUUGAAGGAGCUUCCCUAGAGCUGAGGUGUACCUACUCCUAUACGGGUAGUCUUUAUCUCUUCUGGUAUGUCCAGUACCCCGGCCAGGACAUUCAAGUUCUCCUCAAGUACCUUUCUGGAAAACCUCUCUUUCAAGGCAUCAAAGGCUUUGAAGCUGAAUUUAAGAAGAGCGAAUCUUCCUUCCACCUGAGAAAACCCUCUGUGCAUUGGAGCGAUGCAGCCUGGUACUUCUGUGCUCUGAGUGACACA